CAUUUUCCUGAUUCCCUUUCUCUCUCUUCGUGCAUCUCUCUCUCAACCCGUUCCGUUUGAGGCAAAACGAAGCUCGUGUCAAGCUCUAUACAUCCAUACCAUCAAUUUCCAGUUUUGAGUCUUCCUUGGAGCUCGAAUUUGAGGACCCAUUUUCUAGGGUUUUGGUGCAAUCUUGAGGUCUUGGAAAAGAACCGGUGGACGACAAUCCACCCUAACUUUGAAAGUUGCUAGAGGAGCAUUUUCCUUGUUAUUUUGUAGUAGACUACUC